rnacentral:rRNA from 1 species
UACGUAGGAUCCAAGCGUUGUCCGGAUUUACUGGGUGUAAAGGGUGCGCAGGCGGACUGAUAAGUCAGGAGUGAAAUCUCGGCGCUUAACGCCGAAACGUCUUUUGAUACUGUCGGUCUCGAAUUAGCGAGAGAUUCGUGGAAUUCCGAGUGUAGCAGUGAAAUGUGUAGAUAUUCGGAAGAACACCAGUGGCGAAGGCAGCGAAUUGGCGCUAUAUUGACGCUCAGGCACGAAAGCAUGGGGAUCAAACAGG